GAUGAAGAACGUAGCGAAAUGCGAUAAGUAAUGUGAAUUGCAGAAUUCAGUGAAUCAUCGAAUCUUUGAACACACCUUGCACCCUUUGGCAUUCCGAAGGGUAUGCUCGUUUGAGUGUCAUUGUACUCUCACACUCUCCGAUCCUAUGGAUUCGGGGAGCGGUGGACUUGGGUGUUGCUGCCUUUCCUUGUGGCUCACCUCAAAUGUGUCAGUGCACCUCUUGGUUGGACAUAGUACGGCGUGAUAAGUGUCUUCGCCGGCACCUCGCAAGAGGGUGGCCGAUCGGGAGCUCUGUGCUUUCAAACCGUCUUCGGACAAUUUCUGACAACUUGACCUCAAAUCGAGUAGGACUACCCGCUGAACUUAAGCAUAUCAAUAAGCGGAGGA
rnacentral:misc_RNA from 1 species